UAGCACUUGCCAUCUUACUAUUUUACUUGAUAAUGAAGGCUUUUGAAAGAUGUACAUGGUUGGAUCCAACUUUGUAAUGAGCCAAGUGGUACAAUACAAUAUGUACUAUUUGAGCUAACAAGUUACCUAAGUUAGUGCAUAACAUAUCUUUUCUAGUGGUGAAUAUUUGGACCCAUAGUCAAUGAACUUUUUGCUUAGAUAAUAAAUGGCUUAUUUUUUUCUUCCUAUUUCAUAGUUUUACCUCAACAUGCAUCCCAUGGAUUUUUCACGCAGCGUCAAAUACAAGAUAAGAGGUCUUUUGGAGAUAGGUGGGAUUAAUAUUGGCACGUUUGAUAAGUAUUCUUUAACUUUUUCAAAUGCCAUUUAACAAUUUUCAUCCCAUUCUUUUGACCCAUAUUUUUAAAAAAUCUUGAAUAUGA
rnacentral:lncRNA from 1 species